UGUUCUUAAUGGCAUCUCAGAAAGUGAAUGAUCUUGAGAACGGUUUCCAUUUACUUUGCCCAGAUCUACCAGAGAAAUCACUGUCUGUGGAAGCUCUAACCUUAUGAAGUGUGCCUCUUAAAUAACAAGAUUUGAAAUUAAUUACUCCUUGAUCCAUAGGCUAUAGAAUGGGUAUUGUGUUGGGAGGCAUGAAAGCAAAAGUAAUCUCGUACCUCUCCCUCAAAGCUCUUGGGUGUAUUGUCAAUGAGCAGUACUAUUUGAAAGGAAUCUUUUUUUCUGAGAAGCAGUUCACAGCAGUGGGCUUAAAAUAUUCGGUAAACCAUGUUGUAAACAGAUGUGCCAUCAUCCAGACUUUCUGCCAUGUAUAGAACAUAGGCAGAGUAGAUUUAGCAUAAUUCUGAAGGGCCCUAGAAUUUUCAGAAUGGUAAAUGAGCACUGGCCCCAACUUAAAGUCACGAACUGCAUUAACCCCUAACAAGAGAGUCAGCCUGCCCUCGGAGGCUCGGAAGCCAGGCACUGACUCCUCCUCUCUAGCUACGAAGGUCCUGAUGGCAUCUUCUCGCAAUAUAAGGCUGUUUGGUCUACGGUGAGAAACCUGGUGUUUAGUGCGGCCACCUUCAUUAAUUCUCUUAUCUAGAUCUUAUGAAUAACUUGCUGCAGCUUCCACGUCACUUGCUGCUUCCCCUUGCGACUCUCGCGUUAUGGAGAUGACUUCUUUCCUUAGACCUCAUGAGCCGACCUCUGCUAGCUGCAAACUUUUCUCCUGCAGCUCCCUCACCUCUCUCAGCCCUCACAGAAUUGAAAGGAGGUAGGGCCUUGCUUUGGAUUACACUUUGACUUAAGGGAAUGUUGUGGCUGGAUUGAUCUAUCCAGACCACUCAAACUUUCUCCAUAUCCGCGAUAAGGCGGUUUCACUCUCUUACCAUAUUGUGUUCACUGGGUAGCAGUUAAUUUUCCUCAUAGUUUUCCUUUGCAUUCACCACUUGGCUAACUGGUUGGCAUAUGAGGCCUAGCUUUCCACCAUUCAGAGCUUUCAGUGUGCCUUCCUCCCUAAGUUUAAUCAUUGUCAACUUUUGACUUAAAGUUGACCAUGCAACUUUUCCUUUCACGUGAACACCUGGGGGCCAUUGUAGGAGUACUCACUGGCCUAAUUUCAAUACCACUGUGUCUCAGGGAAGAGGAAGGCCCAAGGAGAGGGAGGGAGAGGGAGGCGCAGCUGCUUGGGUUAGUAAUCAGAACACACACAACAUUUAUGGCUUAAAGUUGCGGUCUUCUAUGGGUGAGGUUCAUGAUGUCCCCAAACAACUACAAUCGUAACACCAAAUAUUACUGAUCACAGGUCGCCAUGCCCGGAUAAUGAUAAUGAAAAAGUUUGAAAUACUGAGAAAACUACCAAAACAUGACACGGAGACAUGAAGGGAGCAAGUGCUGUUGGAAAAGUAGGGCCGAUAGACUUGCUCGGUGAAAGGUUGCCACAAACCCGCAAGUUGUUAAAAACCCCAAUGUAUGCAAAGCACAAUGAAGCAAAGGGCCAUCAAAUGAGUGUUCCUCUGCUGUGUGACAAACAACGCCAAAACUCAGUUGGCUUAAAACAGCAGUGACUUAAAAAUUUCUCAUGAUUGUGGGGGUCAAGCGUUCAUGCAAGCUUUAACUAGGUAAUUCUCCUCCACAUGGCGUCAUCUGGCAAUUACCCAGCUGCAUGCAGAGGACAGCGGAGCCGGACCUGAAGGAUCAAAAAGGCCGUGCUCAUAGAUUUGGAGAUUUUGAGCCUCGGUGAUCUCUCCUUUCACUGGUGACCAGCUUUGGCUUCCUCGCAGCAUGGUAGUCUCAGGGUAGAACUCAAAGGACAACUGGCAUUUAAGACAGAUGAAACAGAAACUGCCAGACCUCUUAAGGUAUGGCUCAGAAAUCCCACAACGUCACUUCUGCUAGAUUUGUGGUCAAAGCUAGCCACAAGGCCAAGUCCAGAAUGAAGGGGAAGGGAAAUAGAGUCUACCUCUUGCCAAGAGGAACAGCAAAGAAUUUGUGCCUGUCUGUAGUCCACUAAAAUGGUUGUGGAAAUUUCCUUUGAGGUAAAUUCCUAGAAUUGGAGCUUCUGCAUCGAGGGAAUUCAUUUUAAACACUUGAAACCUGUCCAAAUGGCCCACCAUUCCAUUUUACCAGUUUGCAUUCUCAUUAGCCGUGUUUGCAGAUCAACUUCUCUGGGCCUUCACCAACACUGGGUAUCGUUACCCUUUUUAAUCUUUUCCAGUUUAAAGAAGGGGAAAAGCCUGAUCGUUGUAGUUUUGUUUUUUUGCAUUUGUGAAUACCAUUGAGGCCGAACACUUUUCAUGUGUUUAUUGGCCAUGUCUAGAUGUUCUUUUUUGAAUUGCCUAAUCUUGUACUCUGCCCAUUCUUUUCUUCGGCUAUUCUUGGUUUGAGUGUUGAUGUUGGUCUGAAAUCUGGGUUAUUAAAGUUUAACCGACCUCAGGAAACCCUACUGGGUUUUUAAAUAUUAUGAAUUACUCUUGCCCAAAAUAAUCUAUCUUCAUUUCCAUUCGUUUACUCUUUAUUUCCCUGGAUCAUCACCUUUUUUCAGUCCUUUCUUUUCUUAGAUUCAAAAUAUUAGAACUACAGAUCCCCCUCAUUGUUCAGUUGAGGCUACGAACUGAAAGAAGAAGAAAGGUCUUGUCCGGAGAUUCUGAACGUGGGGGAGUCUAUUCAGUUUGGACCCGUAGGACCAGUCCUUCAGGCUUCCGGCCAGAAUGACGCCCAAAGUGCACUUAGCCCCCUUACCACAAGAUUUGUCUCCUCCGGUCUGGCACUAAGAAAUUCAGUCUAUCUAUAACUUUUGCCUCGUGAGCGACUGGGAUCCUAAAUUCUCCCUGCCUCUAACUGGCGAUGUGGCCUUUGAUAAAUUACAUUAACUUCGGGCCUUGGAUUCUUGAAUGAAGCGGGAGCAUUGAACUUCUGCUUGGUGACUCUGGGGCACACUUUUCACUAUUGAAGUCUGUUGUGUCAGAGGGGCAUUUGUAGAGAAUGCGUUAAGGGGAAGCAACAUAGAUGGAAGUCAGACCUUUAAGACAUUUACUUCGGCCUGAAAGGUCUAUUUUUGAAGGGAACUUAAUCAAAGCUCUUUAAAAAUAGUUUUUAAUUACAGGUUUGAAUCUUUGUGUUAUUUGUAAUACCUUUUUAGAAGCAUGAAAAUAGCAUUUCUCUCUGUACCAACUUUGUGCUUUCCCAUUUAGUAAACACUGAUUUUAUUUCUCUCUGAGCCUGUAGGAGUAAACCAAGCCAACUCAGCACUUCCUGUUUACCUCCUGGUUGUACGUAUCGUAGAUGGCGACAAACCUGAUCCCCAAAAUAAGCUUCCUUGGUUGACUUCUGCAUUUUCCGGUUAGGCAACCGGCCUGUCAAUACUUGAACGAUGAGUUUGGCUAUUGAAGCCUUGUUCUGCCAUUACCCCUUCAAAUUGUGGGUGUAAAGGAAAGUCACUUCGUGUAAUAGUAGGGAUAAUAUAAUAGGAGGAUUUCUAUUUAAAAGGGGGCAUCGCUUGAGAAUAUCAAAGCAUUUUCAACUUUUAAGCUUGCAAUGUGUGCUGUGAGUGAACACAAAGAUCGUAAAUAGGCAGAUUUCUUCCGGAAAGGCUCAGCGCUCUAAAUACCUAUUUUUUAAGGAAGAAAAUUUGAGUUUUAUGUGUAUUGAGUGACUAACGUGUAAGCUCAGAAACAUUUUAUGUUUCCAUCCUAGUUUAUUCUGCUUAGCAUAAGUCAGCAGAGCCCAGCAUAAUUUACCAUCUACUCAAGGUUUUUCAGUUGUAUUACACUCAUGUCAGGCACACCUUCAUGCAAGUCCCUCCGGGUCAAUGGUUUAGAAAUUCUGCCUCUUCCAUCCCCUUCUCCUCUCAACACCUAUGGAGAUAGAUGCUAAUUGGAACAGAAGCAGCCUACCCCACUAUAGGGUUAGACCACUCUUAGCACAAGAUUAAUGAGAUAGAAGUUUAAGGAGAAAGUAACAUUUCUCACACAGAGUGUAGAUGCCAAGUUAAAGCCAACAACCCUCCUGGAUCAGCCAGAUCCCAAGCUGUGUGUUCCCUUGACUUCACUUAAAGAGGAAACCUUGUACAUCCAGCCACCGUUGCCACCCUCUGGCUCAGUGUGGCUGGCUCUGCCUCCAUCCUGGAGGCCUCAGCUCAGCAGUCACCAUCGUGGACAACAAGACCACAGACUCAAGGUUUAGAGAGAGCCCCCGCACACUCUUUGCUGGGGUGACAUGCAAAAAGGAAUGGUGGGACACCGACAUGCUGUAGGUGACUACCUAUGCUCACGGCAGCCUUUAGAGGUGUGUGAUUUACAUCCAUAAAAGAGGGCAUUGAGAGCCAGUGGAUAUUUAAAGUCAGAUACUGGCAAGAAUAUUCUACAUUACUGAUGAGUGAUUGAACCACGGGCUAGUAGACAUCCCAAGGUAUCAGAGGCUUAGAGCACAGUAUUUGCCAAGAGGAAGAAAAGCCUAAGUAUCUUAUCAAUUUGCUGAGACUGUAAUGGGCAUACUGUGUGACAUACGUGUAUUACUGGAGAUGAGGGGCUGGUUUCCUUGUAGAUUUUCCACCUCUUUCGGGAUCCAGACGCAGCCUUCACCUGUGGCACACGCUCAGCUCUUUAUAAGCAUCCUAAGUUCUUCCAUCACUGACUAGUCACGCUGGAAAUAAAUGUUAUACAUUUAAAAAGUGAUGUUCUUUCACAUCUAGUACCCAGAUCUUAGUUUCUAAAUAUUCUCCACUGACAUUCAGGCUCCUUGGAGAAAUAGAUGAUUCCAGGACUGGGGCAGGGAAAGAUGCCUGGGAAAAUGAGCCUGGAACAUCUUAAUUCAACAGAAAAUAAGAAAUUGCUCAUGAACUGGGGAAACAUGUCAAAAAUGGGAGGUGGAAGAGGCUCCUUGUUGCCAAAUCUGGGACAAUUUGAUUGUCCAAAUAAACGAUGAUAGUAAUGGGUUAUCACCCAUGGAAUAAAAUAAAUAUCCUUGAGUCCAUAUAAUAUAAAUAAGGAAAAAAAAUACAGAAGAAAGUGAACUUUCUUUUGCUGUAGAAUGCAAAAUUUUAGAUGGAAUCGUGGCAUUAAAAGAUCAUCAACAGGUCAGGGCGCCUGGGUGCCUCCGUCUGUUAAGCGCCGACUUUGGCUCAGGUCACGAUCAGGUCUUAAUUUACAGUUCGUGAGUUCGAGCCCCGCAUCAGGCUCUGUGCUGACAUCUCAGAGCCUGGAGCCUGCUUCAGAUUCUGUGUCUCCCUCUCUCUCUCUGCUCCUUCCCCACUUGUGCUCUGUCUCUGUCUCUCAAAAAUAAAUAAGCAUUAAAAAAAAUUUAAGAAAACAAAACGAUCAUCAACAGGGGAGAAAGGCUGAUAAGGGAUGGAUAUUUACAUAGUCUCAAAUUACCCUCACAAAUGACUCCUCAAUUACAAAGGAAAGGUAGUAACAUGAAAAAAACCCCCGAUGCCCUUACGAUUAUUCGUUGUAAAUAUUAUUUGUUAAUUAAAAUAUGGGUUUUUUUGUUUUGGUUCACAGAUGGUUAAGUGCUUGUUUUGCUUAAAUUCUGGCCUCAGGCCACGUCAUUAAAUAAGACACACAGACGGAAAUUCAUUUAUACCAGUUUAAAGGGGAUAUUCAAUGAUGACAAUCCUUUGCUAAAAUAUACUUUGAGUAAAUGCCUAAUUCAGCUCUUUUUGCUUAGCCUCAAUCAGGAAAUCGUUCUCCCCUCCAAAAGCCAGAACGGGCUAGCCCUGCAGCACAGCAGAGGCGUACAGGGCCGAGCCCUGAGCCCCUUGGCUCAGAGGGAGAUGGGGAGCUACCUUGCUGUGGGGACAGAGAAGGGUCCAUUCCAGGAUGGCACCUAAACUCCAUCUGGUCCCUUCCCUGGUGAGGAUUCUGGCCCUCUUUAUUUUCCCUUUUUGUUGCCUGAGAUCAGGAACACUAUUUUCAGUUACUGUGACAGUUGGGUAUCUGAACAGGCAGGAUGCUGGUGUCCAGAGAGGGCACCCGGGGUAAACAGGGUGCCUAGAUAAUGCUGGCUCAGCUGGGCUCCUGGCCACCUGGUUAUGUGAUGGGCUGCACCAGCAUUCCAGGGAGACGGGACCGGCACCUCGAAGGCUACAUUCAGACGUUAAAAUACACACCCACAAAACAGCCAGCCCAGACCCCUAAUCUUACUUUAUGACCAAACUAUAAUUACAUUACAGCAAUUACUUGAAUAUUACAUUUUUAUUACUGUUAUGUCAUUAUGUCUACUAGGGGAAAAAAAAAUCUGCCUACUUUAACCAAUAAAAUUCUUAAUGACUCAUUGAA